AUACGGAGGGUGCAAGCGUUAUCCGGAUUCACUGGGUUUAAAGGGUGCGUAGGUGGAUAUUUAAGUCAGUGGUGAAAUCUCCGAGCUUAACUCGGAAACUGCCAUUGAUACUAUUUAUCUUGAAUGCCCUGGAGGUAAGCGGAAUAUGUCAUGUAGCGGUGAAAUGCUUAGAUAUGACAUAGAACACCAAUUGCGAAGGCAGCUUACUACGGGGUGAUUGACACUGAGGCACGAAAGCGUGGGGAUC
rnacentral:rRNA from 1 species